rnacentral:rRNA from 1 species
UACGAAGGGGCUAGCGUUGUUCGGAAUUAUUGGGCGUAAAGCGCGUGUAGGCGGUGAUGCAUGUCGGGUGUGAAAGCCCUCAGCUCAACUGAGGAAGUGCGCCCGAAACUGCAUCGCUGGAGUGCCGGAGAGGAAGGCGGAAUUCCCGGUGUAGAGGUGAAAUUCGUAGAUAUCGGGAGGAACACCGGUGGCGAAGGCGGCGAUCUGGACAGAUAUUGACGCUGAGGUGCGAAAGCGUGGGGAGCAACAGG